AAUUAUCGAGGAUAGAACAGGCAGCUAUCACUCCUACUUAUGUAGGUCUUAAAGAGAUGUGGACGUGCCAAUCCACCGAUAAUA
rnacentral:ncRNA from 1 species